CAGCCACAUCACAUUGAAACACAGAAUCCCGUACGAUCACUGAAGUUAAGCAACGUUAAGCCUGGUCAGUACCUAGUUAGGUGACCGCUUGGGAAUACAUGUGCC